UUUUUUUCAUGAAUGGGAUAAAACAUCAGUUCCACGUUUCAUGGUACUCGUGCAACAAAACCCUUUUUACUCCGACGAAGGAUUAACGAAAGAUUAAUAUCCAAAUCGUCAGCCAGUCGGCUCUCCAGUAAUACACCACAAAAUAUCGAAGAAUUCCAUGGAUGUUCUCUGGUGCUAUNUUAGACCAAGUCAUAAACAAACUGGACGAGCUGGAAUUGGUAACAGUAAGAUUCCUUACUGGUGCAGUUGGAGCUAAACACAAGAAAAAAUGUCACGUAAAUUAGUUAACCAGAAAUACGUCAAAAUAGAUUCUAUUAAUGCAGAAUGUGUAAAGAACAAGUCGAUGAUAGAAAGUUCAUGAAAUAAACACACGACCAUCAUGCA